AGCAGCCGCGGUAAUACGUAGGUGGCAAGCGUUGUCCGGAAUUAUUGGGCGUAAAGGGCUCGCAGGCGGUUUCUUAAGUCUGAUGUGAAAGCCCCCGGCUCAACCGGGGAGGGUCAUUGGAAACUGGGAAACUUGAGUGCAGAAGAGGAGAGUGGAAUUCCACGUGUAGCGGUGAAAUGCGUAGAGAUGUGGAGGAACACCAGUGGCGAAGGCGACUCUCUGGUCUGUAACUGACGCUGAGGAGCGAAAGCGUGGGGAGCGAACAGGAUUAGAUACCCUGGUAGUCCACGCCGUAAACGAUGAGUGCUAAGUGUUAGGGGGUUUCCGCCCCUUAGUGCUGCAGCUAACGCAUUAAGCACUCCGCCUGGGGAGUACGGUCGCAAGACUGAAACUCAAAGGAAUUGACGGGGGCCCGCACAAGCGGUGGAGCAUGUGGUUUAAUUCGAAGCAACGCGAAGAACCUUACCAGGUCUUGACAUCCUCUGACAACCCUAGAGAUAGGGCUUUCCCUUCGGGGACAGAGUGACAGGUGGUGCAUGGUUGUCGUCAGCUCGUGUCGUGAGAUGUUGGGUUAAGUCCCGCAACGAGCGCAACCCUUGAUCUUAGUUGCCAGCAUUCAGUUGGGCACUCUAAGGUGACUGCCGGUGACAAACCGGAGGAAGGUGGGGAUGACGUCAAAUCAUCAUGCCCCUUAUGACCUGGGCUACACACGUGCUACAAUGGACAGAACAAAGGGCUGCGAGACCGCAAGGUUUAGCCAAUCCCACAAAUCUGUUCUCAGUUCGGAUCGCAGUCUGCAACUCGACUGCGUGAAGCUGGAAUCGCUAGUAAUCGCGAU
rnacentral:rRNA from 1 species